rnacentral:rRNA from 1 species
GAAGUAGGAAUCGCUAGUAAUCGCAGGUCAGCAUACUGCGGUGAAUACGUUCCCGGGCUUUGUACACACCGCCUGUCACACCAUGGAAGUUGGCCAUGCCCGAAGUCGUUACUCCAACCUUUGUGGAGGAGGACGCCGAAGGUGGGGUUAAUGACUGGGGUGAAGUGGUAACAAGGUAGCCGUACCGGAAGGUGCGGCUGGAUCACCUCUUAA